GAUGAACGCUGGCGGCGUGCCUAAUACAUGCAAGUAGAACGCUGAAGAGAGGAGCUUGCUCUUCUUGGGUGAGUUGCGAACGGGUGAGUAACGCGUAGGUAACCUGCCUUGUAGCGGGGGAUAACUAUUGGAAACGAUAUCCAAUACCGCAUAACAAUGGAUGACACAUGUCAUUUAUUUGAAAGGGGCAAUUGCUCCACUACAAGAUGGAUCUCCGUUGUAUUAGCUAGUAGGUGAGGUAAUGGCCCACCAAGGCGACGAUACAUAGCCGGCCUGAGAGGAUGAUCAGCAACACGGGACUUGGACAACGGUCAGGCUCCCUCCGGGAGGAAGAAGAGGGGAACAUCGGACAUGGGGGGAACGCUUGACGAAGAAAGCCGGGGUAGGGGAGGAAGGUCUCCGGUCGGAAAAGUCCGUUGUAUGGGAAGAAAGGGCAGGAGGGUAAAAAGUUCACGUUGUGACGGUAGCUAAACAGAAAGCAACGGCUAACUACGUG
rnacentral:rRNA from 1 species